GAGACAGAGAGAGAGCAUGAACAGGGGAGGAGCAGAGAGAGAGGGAGACACAGAAUCUGAAACAGGCUCCAGGCUCUGAGCUGUCAGCACAGAGCCCGACGCGGGGCUCGAACUCACAGACCGUGAGAUCAUGACCUGAGCCGAAGUCGGACGCUCAACCUACCAAGCCACCCAGGCGCCCCUCCAUCUGUCUUUUUAAGUGGCCACAACUCGGAGGACCAAGGGGCAGGGGUGAAGCCUCCAUUCUGUGCCUGGGAAGUUGAGGCUCCGGAGACGGACAUUUGUCAGGGUGGAGGCAUAUGAAAAGGCGAAGAACUGGCCUUCUGCCCCAGCUGGCCUGGUGACUUCCUUUUUUCACUGUUGCUCCAUGAGUGCAAAGGUCUUCCUUUUAUUCACUGCUCACUGCUGUAUCCCCUCCCCCAACUUCUAAAAAUGUCUAGCACAAAGCAGACACAUCAUAGACAUUUCAGAAAUGGAUGCAUAUGGCACAAAACCAAAAUGAUAGGACAAGAUUAGCAGUGAGAAGCUUUAUUCCUACCUAUUCCUUGAUUCACAGGUA